rnacentral:rRNA from 1 species
CCGACGGUGAGGGGCGAAACCCUGGGGCGCAAACCGGAUUAGAUACCAGGGUAGUCCAGGGCGUAAACGCUGCAGGCUUGGUGUUGGGGACCCUACGAGGGUGCUCAGUGCCGGAGUGAAGAUGUUAAGCCUGCCGCUUGGGGAGUACGUCCGCAAGGAUGAAACUUAAAGGAAUUGGCGGGAGAGCACAGCAACGGGAGGAGCGUGCGGUUCAAUUGGAUUCAACGCCGUAAAACUCACCGGGAGC